CCGUGGUACGUUCUUUUCUUCGCCAUCUUGUGAGCGAGCCGCACGUGAAUUUCGCUAGCUGCGAGAUCAAUCCGCUUGGCAAAGUGUGUGAUAAGUGAAACGAACGAAAAAUGACUGAAACGCUGCAGCUGCGCGGCCAGCUUCUUGGCCACUCCGGAUGGGUUACGCAGAUUGCCACCAAUCCGAAGUACCCGGACAUGAUUUUGUCCUCGUCUCGCGACAAAACUCUGAUCGUGUGGAAGCUGACUCGCGAUGAGCUGAGCUACGGCAUCCCGCAAAAGCGUCUGUACGGACACUCUCACUUCAUUUCGGACGUUGUGCUGUCGUCGGACGGAAACUAUGCUCUGUCUGGAUCGUGGGACAAAACCCUGCGUCUGUGGGAUUUGGCCGCUGGUCAAUCGACCCGCCGUUUCGAAGACCAUACCAAGGUGUGACCAUUACGUUACUGAAUUUGGCUUGCAACGGGCAAGCAAAGGCUAUUACUCGUGCUCUACCGAACAGUGUAAAUCAGUGUGAUCAUACUGUUUGUGAAUCGCCAAGAGCCUCCGGUCCGAUACGUUAUGUCGAGUAUUUCGUGGGGUAUGCCUGAAAUAGCUCGCAUUACGAAUUGGCAGGAUGUGUGGAAAUUCGAUGGACAUUCGUGUGAGCAAUCCGCGAAUAAUGCAUGAAUUUCUCACAAAUGGCUAGGCAAGCGAUUUGGGUUAUUUGUUUUUGCGCCUAUGCGAGGCAGAAGAUCAAUCGGUCGACCGUUGUUAAAGUUCAAAGCGCCAAUGCGUGGCAGAAGAAUCAAGUCGUCGUGCUACUACCGUUUGUGCGUAAAUAGCAGAUCCUGGCGUUCCGAGGCGUAUACCAUCCAUACGGUGAGGGAUUGGAGGAAUCGGUUCUGGCUUUGAUAAGGUUCACACUCUCAGUCAUGUAAAAUGUAAACUCACUAUUAUCUAAACAGUCGGCGCAUUUGAUCGAUGGCGAUCACAAAUGUCUUGCACUGCCUUAGUUAAUAGUAAUGCAAGGAUGUCCUUUCGGUUGCAUUCUCGGUAGACAAUCGUCAGAUUGUGUCGGGAUCCCGCGACAAGACGAUCAAGCUGUGGAACACUCUGGCCGAGUGCAAGUACACCAUCCAGGAGGACGGACACUCCGACUGGGUGUCGUGCGUGCGCUUCUCGCCGAACCACACCAACCCGAUCAUCGUAUCGGCCGGUUGGGAUCGUGUGGUGAAGGUAUGGAAUCUGGCUAACUGCAAGCUGAAGAUCGACCAUCUCGGACACAACGGCUACCUGAACUCGGUGUCCGUGUCUCCGGACGGUUCGCUGUGCACGUCGGGCGGCAAGGACUGUCGCGCCUUCCUGUGGGAUCUGAACGAUGGCAAGCAUUUGCACACGCUGGAGCACAACGAGGUCAUCAACGCUCUGUGCUUCUCGCCCAACCGCUACUGGCUGUGCGUCGCCUACGGACCGUCGAUCAAGAUCUGGGAUCUGGCCUCCAAGACGAUGGUCGAGGAGCUGAAGCCGGCCAAGAACGGAGAUCCGCCACAGUGCCUGUCGCUGGCCUGGUCGACGGACGGACAGACUCUGUACGCCGGUUACUCCGACAACAUCAUCCGUGUCUGGCAGGUGUCGGUUUCUGCUCGCUAAGGCGGAGGAGAGUCAAUCCGCUGGUGUGGAUGAGUUGGGUGUGCUUUUUCCAUAAGAACGAGCAGUAUGGUAUUGUGUUUCUUUCGUUGUAAAAGAACGUAAUAAACGGAAAAGAAUAAUUUAA